AGAGUUUGAUCCUGGCUCAGGAUGAACGCUGGCGGCGUGCUUAACACAUGCAAGUCGAACGAACCUUCGGGUUAGUGGCGGACGGGUGAGUAACGCGUGAGAAUCUGCCCUCAGGAGGGGGAUAACGGCUGGAAACGGCCGCUAAUACCCCAUAUGCCGAGAGGUGAAAUGAAUUUCGCCUGAGGAUGAGCUCGCGUCUGAUUAGCUAGUUGGUGUGGUAAAGGCUCACCAAGGCAUCGAUCAGUAGCUGGUCUGAGAGGAUGAUCAGCCACACUGGGACUGAGACACGGCCCAGACUCCUACGGGAGGCAGCAGUGGGGAAUUUUCCGCAAUGGGCGCAAGCCUGACGGAGCAACGCCGCGUGAGGGGUGAAGGCCUCUGGGCUGUAAACCUCUUUUAUCAAGGAAGAAGAUCUGACGGUACUUGAUGAAUAAGCCACGGCUAAUUCCGUGCCAGCAGCCGCGGUAAUACGGGAGUGGCAAGCGUUAUCCGGAAUUAUUGGGCGUAAAGCGUCCGCAGGCGGUCUUGAAAGUCUGUUGUUAAAGCGUGGAGCUCAACUCCAUUUCAGCAAUGGAAACUAGAAGACUAGAGUGUGGUAGGGGCAGAGGGAAUUCCCGGUGUAGCGGUGAAAUGCGUAAAUAUCGGGAAGAACACCAGUGGCGAAGGCGCUCUGCUGGGCCAUAACUGACGCUCAUGGACGAAAGCCAGGGGAGCGAAAGGGAUUAGAUAUCCCUGUAGUCCUGGCCGUAAACGAUGAACACUAGGUGUCGGGGGAAUCGACCCCCUCGGUGUCGUAGCCAACGCGUUAAGUGUUCCGCCUGGGGAGUACGCACGCAAGUGUGAAACUCAAAGGAAUUGACGGGGGCCCGCACAAGCGGUGGAGUAUGUGGUUUAAUUCGAUGCAACGCGAAGAACCUUACCAGGGUUUGACAUCCUGCGAAUCCCUUGGAAACUUGGGAGUGCCUUCGGGAGCGCAGUGACAGGUGGUGCAUGGCUGUCGUCAGCUCGUGUCGUGAGAUGUUGGGUUAAGUCCCGCAACGAGCGCAACCCACGUCUUUAGUUGCCAGCAUUAAGUUGGGCACUCUAGAGAGACUGCCGGUGAUAAACCGGAGGAAGGUGUGGGUGACGUCAAGUCAUCAUGCCCCUUACAUCCUGGGCUACACACGUACUACAAUGCUACGGACAAAGGGCAGCAAACUCGCGAGAGCUAGCAAAUCCCAUAAACCGUGGCUCAGUUCAGAUCGUAGGCUGCAACUCGCCUACGUGAAGGAGGAAUCGCUAGUAAUCGCAGGUCAGCAUACUGCGGUGAAUACGUUCCCGGGCC
rnacentral:rRNA from 1 species